UACGUAGGGCGCAAGCGUUGUCCGGAAUUAUUGGGCGUAAAGAGCUCGUAGGCGGUUUGUCGCGUCUGCUGUGAAAACCUAAGGCUCAACCUUGGGCUUGCAGUGGGUACGGGCAGACUAGAGUGCGGUAGGGGUGACUGGAAUUCCUGGUGUAGCGGUGGAAUGCGCAGAUAUCAGGAGGAACACCGAUGGCGAAGGCAGGUCUCUGGGC
rnacentral:rRNA from 1 species